GGGAAUCCCUCCAGCGGCCCAGCCCCGCCUCCCGAGAUGUGGCAGGCCCCCCUCCCUGCUCUACACUUUCUACCACCUGCCUUCCGCCUUGCAGGCAGGCUACCACCGGCUCCGGGAAGCCCCUCCCGCAGACCUGCCGCUCCCCCGACUCAGAAUGAGCUGCUCGACCGACAGAUACCAAGGUCGUCUUUGCGCCGGCGUGCGACCAACUUAACACGGUAAGGUCUCGGCGUUUCUAGGGAAAGGGUCUUGCGACUUUGCCUUUCCUCAAGAAGACCCUCCGCCAAGAGGUCCCUUCCACAGGCCCCUCUUGACGGCACCCCCAAUCGUCUUUGGUCCUGUCUUUAGUCUCCGUUAUGCACAAAAGCGGAGACCGACCGCCCGGCGCGGCUUCGACUCUCGGCGCGCGGAAGCGAUCGCGGGGUCGAGUGAGCCCGCUUUAGCCACGCCUCCGCGGGCGGGAAAAGGCGGGGAAUUCAAAUUAGGAACGACGUUGGGUGAGAGCGACGAAGCGUCGAGAGAAACACAGUUUCUCUUUUAAAAGGUAGAGAUUUAAAAAUCUGCACAAGAGCCUGCUGCCUAGUGUGGCUCCCAUACCAAAGUCCGAGAAGCGAGGGAAGUGAGACCUCGAAGGAGGGUGACCUGGCUCACCUUCUCUCUUCGAUGGAAGGCUGCUACGAGAUCCAUCGCGGGAAGCCCAUACCCCCACGUGGCGUAUCUCCUGAACCGCGCUUCUUUUUACCUUCUGCCCCCGGUAAGACGUUUUCGUAACCUCAUCAUCGUUCGUGGUACGAGUCGGACGUCGCCACGUAGUUAAAAGUCGAGGCUUCACGGCCCCGGAAGGGCAGAUCAGGAUUAAAAUCUCUGCCAGCGCUCAAGAGGACUCAUGAUUAUAACAACUGAAUGAAUCUAGGGGCGCCUGGGUGACUCAGUCAGUUAAGCAUCCAACUCCUGGUCUCGGCUAGGUCAUGAACCCUCAGUUGUGGGGAUCGUGAACGCUGAUUGAUCCACUUUCCUCAGAAAGUGGAUGGGAACGAGAGGACCCGUCAGUCGCAAAGACGCAAAACCAACCAGCCAAGAGUAAGGGUCCCCUUAAUUCUGUGGGAGGAAGCAGAGCAAGAAAGCUGAGGAUGUUGGGAGGUGGGGCCUCGGCAGCCUGGAUCUCUUUGGAUGUAAAAUACGAUAAGUAACACCUUCUCUUUGGGAUUGUUGGAAGACCAAAAGAACAAUGUGGGGAUUUGCCGGCCCGGCCCACGGUGGGUGCCCAAGGAUGGCAGGCAAGUUUUGAAGCCCGGUUCUUGGGGGAGUCUAACUAGUUUUAUGGAUCCAGUCUAGCUGGGCAUGAAACUUGCUGUCCAGCACACAAACCCUGAUAUUCUAGCCCCGGGAUCCCGAACGCAGUCGGGGCGGGAGGCUGGGGGGCGGGGAGGGAUGGGGGGGCAGGUACUCUGCUGGCCCUUGCAACUGCCUUGAUCACGUGUAACUAUCCAGGGUUUUCAGGCUGGCUUGGGGUAACACCGCCCGGCCCCAUCAAAGAAAUGCAGCGUGAACAGUCCCACACCUCUCGGCUCCUGUCUCUCAAGGAACAUGCAAGUGAAUCUAAUUAAUGACCUUCAGUAUCUUCUGUGCUUUUUUAUUAUCCCAUCCACAGUUCCUGGAGCCUUCCGGUCACUUACAAUUCAAACAAAAGAAACACCAAAAAGUUAGCUCGUGUGUCAUGGGCUCCUUUUCUCUGUCUCGGCACCAGAAGGUUCUAGAAACCGUUUGCAGACUCUCCUCAGGGACUCAGAAGUCAUCAAGUGCCGUCGCCGAGCACUUCUCAAACGGUCCCGUACGCGCGCGCGCGCGCGCACACACACACCCACACCCAC